rnacentral:rRNA from 1 species
UACCAUGCAGUCGAGCGGAGAUGAGGUGCUUGCACCUUAUCUUAGCGGCGGACGGGUGAGUAAUGCUUAGGAAUCUGCCUAUUAGUGGGGGACAACAUUCCGAAAGGAAUGCUAAUACCGCAUACGUCCUACGGGAGAAAGCAGGGGAUCUUCGGACCUUGCGCUAAUAGAUGAGCCUAAGUCGGAUUAGCUAGUUGGUGGGGUAAAGGCCUACCAAGGCGACGAUCUGUAGCGGGUCUGAGAGGAUGAUCCGCCACACUGGGACUGAGACACGGCCCAGACUCCUACGGGAGGCAGCAGUGGGGAAUAUUGGACAAUGGGGGGAACCCUGAUCCAGCCAUGCCGCGUGUGUGAAGAAGGCCUUAUGGUUGUAAAGCACUUUAAGCGAGGAGGAGGCUACUGAGACUAAUACUCUUGGAUAGUGGACGUUACUCGCAGAAUAAGCACCGGCUAACUCUGUGCCAGCAGCCGCGGUAAUACAGAGGGUGCGAGCGUUAAUCGGAUUUACUGGGCGUAAAGCGUGCGUAGGCGGCUUUUUAAGUCGGAUGUGAAAUCCCCGAGCUUAACUUGGGAAUUGCAUUCGAUACUGGGAAGCUAGAGUAUGGGAGAGGAUGGUAGAAUUCCAGGUGUAGCGGUGAAAUGCGUAGAGAUCUGGAGGAAUACCGAUGGCGAAGGCAGC